CCUCAACUCCCUAAAAAUUUUCCACCUGCUUAAGAUUUCAAUCUCAGCUAUAUAAUCUUACCAGGUCUCUUUUACGGCUGGAGUUCGAAUUUGAGGUGGAUUUUGCCUUUCAAAAUCUCUGAAAACAAUUAUUAUGGCAGCGAAUACUUUGUCCACAAGAGGAACAACUAGGCACGGAAAAUAUGCUCUUGGAUCGCUUGAUGAUAGAGAUAUGUUUAUAUGUUCAAAAGACCUUGCAUUGGAACCUUGCAAUAAGAAGUCAUCCCACCAAACACUUCAUAAUCAAAUGCUGAAAGUCCACAACUUAAGGAAUGCUAGUGCUCAAAGUCCACAGAUUAUAAUUUUCACUGGACAGGGUGACAACAUUCCUCCCCCUUUGAUGACAUUUGAUGCAACUGGAUUUCCUCCAGAGAUAUUGAAGGAGGUAAGUUUAUUCUCUCCUGUUAUAUGUAAUAACUUGUUUUUGUAAUUCGCGAAGUACAGCUUCAUGGCAUGUCAGUAGAUGUUGGUGUUUCUGCUUAUGUCUAAAAGGCAUGUUUUCUCAGCGUUGACUGUUUAGUAUAUGUAGUGCACAAAAAGACAUUGUUGACGGCUGUUGAGUACUGUUUGUAUAAUGUUUCAAAUGCUUAAGACUAGUAACAUAAAUAUCCUUUAUUAUGGUUAUUUUAAAUGUAGAAAUAACAACUGAGGAUAAACUUUUCAUUGUUAUA